rnacentral:lncRNA from 1 species
CUGCAAAAAUAAGAAGCAUAUAUUAGGCCAUGCUCCGCAUAAUUCUUAGCAUCUGCCUAAAGAAAUAACGUAGAAUUGUUUUCAUUUGAUUUGUACACGAAGCCAUCCGGGCUACUUUUCAUCAUCAGAAAAUUUGAUAUUAUAAACAAUAACUUUACAUAAUCUUUCUCCAAUUUCCUCGUCAGACAUAGCAAGAUUCUUUGUUAGAAUACUUGAAUUCUUCCUCUGCCCAAUAUUGAAGUUCAUAUGCUAAUUCAGUUAGAUCGUCAUCCGACACAGUAGGGAUUUGAAGUAUAAGGGUUUUGACCUCUGUAACAUAAUUCUUGAUCGUGUCUUUACGCUUCAACUCCCUUAAUUUCAUUCUUGUAUUUUAAACAAGAUGAUUGGGGUAGAAUAAUUUCAUAAAAGCAUCUCAAGUCCGAUCUGGACUAACAUUUGCUCAGUGAGCUUUUGUGCUGCAAGCGUUGAAGAAGAGGUUUGGGGGUUUCUAGAGGAAGCUGGAGACUUGGGAUUGCAGAGUGUGGAAGGCUUCUCAAAGCCCGGCCGCCUGGUAUGGUGGCUGCGGCGG